AAAAGGCUUUUUAUAUGCAGUUGCACAGUAGAGGAGAACUGAAGCCAGGGUAUGCACAGUAUAGACAGGAGGCUAUAGGUCAUGUCUCUACUGCGCAUGGUUUGCUGGUAUGUUGCUAUGCAUAGCUCUAAGCUUGCUAGACAGCUGCUAGAUACAUUUUAGCCAUGCUUUCCCUGUUCUGUCCUGUUUAGUCUAAUAUUUGUCCUUUCUUCUCUUUCUCCAUCCAAAACUGUUGCCAAUUUUUCCCCUCAUAUUUUAUAAUUUACAUUUUAUUUAACUACCCAAUCCCAUAUCUUUCGUUAUCUACCUCUCCUCCACGUUUAAAAUUGACUUCACGUUCAUGCGUUCACCCAUCCUUUGCCCUCUACCCUCAUUACUGCUUCAGACAGAGGGGGAGGAAGACCCUCAGACUAAGGAGGGCAACAAAGAGAACAAGCCAAAGUCCGGAGGCAGGCGACGAGGAGGCCAGAGGCAUAAAAGCAAAUCUCAAGCUAACUCCACAGCCCCCCCUGCUGGUGCAGUAGGGAGCUGCUAACUUUCUUUCACUUGCUCCUCCUCCUCCACCUCCUCCUCCUCCUCCUCCACUCCCAUCAAGUGUCUUUGUAUCUUACAGAGCAUUGAAGAUGUUCAUGCAAAACGAUGUUUUACAGUCAGCUACACCCACCGACCCCACCUGUUCAUUUUGUUUAAUGCUUGGUCAGCAUGGACGACGCACCACUGCUUCUUAAAAACCAAGAGGAGUCCACAAGGAACCAACAUGCAGUGUCUAGAGAAUUUAACUUAUUAUGGAAACGUGUGUUCUUAGAGGUUUACGGUGUAGUUAUUGUAGUAAUUAAGAACAAAAGAAACCGAGAUACUGCAUGAUGGUUCUUUUUUUUAUUAUUAUAAUUUUAUUCAAUUUUUUUUUUUGCCUCCUUUACAAAGAAGGAUAUUUGUUAAAGCUGUGGUCAAGCUGAGGAAAACGUGAGACCUUUAUCUUUUCUUCUCCUUUUAUCAAACCAACGCAUUGGCAUUGUGCACUGACUAGGUAACUCGUUCUGAUAGCGUUUUAGCAUUUUCAUUCUGUUUUAAAAGUUCUCAAAGUUAUGCAUUUUUUUAAAAGACAUUGGAAAUUUUAGUCCGUUAUUCUACAGUUCUGUGGAAAAUACAACAAAAUAUAUGGACUAGAGAGCAUACAUUGACUCACAUUUGACAUUUUAGUCAUUAAACCUUUACAGAAAAAUGCAAAUAAAAAAACAUGUAUCUCCA
rnacentral:lncRNA from 1 species